UGAGAGAGCGUUUGAGUGAGAUUGAGAGUUAGGAGCGCGCUUGAGAGAGAAGUGUAAGGUUGGGAGAGAAGAAAGAGCGUGAGGGCGAUACCGAGAGAAGAGAGAGCGAAGGUUGAGGACGAUGAGAGUUGAGAGAGAGAGAUUCUUUGGAGUUUGAUAGAAUUCGUGGGAUUGUGAGAGACGGAGACGGAAGUGUCUUCUGUUUUGGUUUUCUUUUUUUCUUUUCUUUAAUUUACUUUUAUACAGAAUAAGUUUUAAAAAAACAUUAAAGAUUUUGUUUAAACUUCCUAAGUAGUUAAUAAGUAUUUACACCUUUUCAAUUCAUAUUCCCAUUGAAAAACCCAACAGCCAGGCGGCUGGGUUUCUUUGGUAAUCCAACAGACCCUUGCUAUUUGUUAUUUUAGUUUCUUUUUUUCAUUUUUUGUUCCAAUCUAGUAGGGUUUAUAUAUUUAGGUUGUUAUUUAAAUGAUAACUAAUUAUAAGUGGUUUGGUGGAGAAGGGUAGUAUCAUAGUCUUGAGUGGGGUGGGUUCAAUACCCGGGUAUGUUGCCUUGGUUUUCUAACACUUUGAUUUUUUUU
rnacentral:lncRNA from 1 species